rnacentral:rRNA from 1 species
GAUGAACGCUGGCGGCGUGCCUAAUACAUGCAAGUCGAGCGAACAGACGAGGAGCUUGCUCCUCUGACGUUAGCGGCGGACGGGUGAGUAACACGUGGAUAACCUACCUAUAAGACUGCGAUAACUUCGGGAAACCGGAGCUAAUACCGGAUAAUAUAUUGAACCGCAUGGUUCAAUAGUGAAAGACGGUUUUGCUGUCACUUAUAGAUGGAUCCGCGCCGCAUUAGCUAGUUGGUAAGGUAACGGCUUACCAAGGCAACGAUGCGUAGCCGACCUGAGAGGGUGAUCGGCCACACUGGAACUGAGACACGGUCCAGACUCCUACGGGAGGCAGCAGUAGGGAAUCUUCCGCAAUGGGCGAAAGCCUGACGGAGCAACGCCGCGUGAGUGAUGAAGGUCUUCGGAUCGUAAAACUCUGUUAUUAGGGAAGAACAAAUGUGUAAGUAACUAUGCACGUCUUGACGGUACCUAAUCAGAAAGCCACGGCUAACUACGU